rnacentral:lncRNA from 1 species
UUCUAAGCUUCUCGUAAAUAAAAGUUCUACGAUGGCAAUGUUCACUAAACCAAAACUUCUGUUUCUCUUCUUCUGCAUCCUCUCUUUGUUCCUCGCAUCUCAAUGCGAUGAUAAUCCAGGACGAAAAGGUGCGUGUUAGCUAUAUAUACUUUUCCUGUUUUAAUUUACUUGUCUUACUUAUUUUAUGUUGUGUUGUACUGCUUUACUUGAGCGAGAGUCUUUUGGAACAGUUUCUCUAUCUUGUAGUGUGGCCUGUCGUACACACUACUAUUUCUAGACCACAGUUAUGGAGUUAAAGUUGUAUUACUUCUGUUAUGCUGUUUAGCUGUUUUUACUUGAGCCAAGUGAACUUUCAGAAACAAUCGCAGACUUCUAUCAUGCAUGGUCUAUUGAAAAGAAAAUACUCCUUCCAUAUUUGGUGUUUUUCUAACACUCAUUUAUAGUUAAUAUCUUUGAUCAUACUCUUUUAUAAAAAUAAUAUACUAGCAUGACUUCUCUAACUUGCACCAAUGGUAUUUUUGAUAUAAAAGCCCCAAGAUUAUAUUACAUUUUAAAAUUCAUGUUUAGUCAUGUACUCAUAUUUCGUGGCAGAGCUAGUCCGGCACCCUUGUUUUUUUAGGAAAACUCAAAAUAUUAAAGCUUGCUAGAGAUGAAGCAGCAUGUAAAUAAAAAAUUAGUUUCACCGUAGUAUUAAAAUGUAAUUUUUCAACAAAAUGAAAAUAGAAGUUAGAACCCAUGGUGUCAAACGAAACGGGCCAUGCUUGUAAUAUUUGCGGCGAUGCUACAUCGGUAAGCAAGAAUUCUUUUUGUCUAUGUACUCCCGUUCGAUAUUGUUUCAUUCAAUUUUAACUUGGAUAGUUAACUUGGUAUGAAGUUAAAUGUAAAUAAAGUUUUUGAAUUUUACUAAUGUAUUAAAAUGAUCCUUAAUUUGAUAAUUACAAAACGUUUUAGAAGUUUAUCAUAAAUGCAUCAAUGCAUCAGGUGAACAGUUAAAAUUAAAGAAUUUUUUUAAAAGGUAAAGAAUUUUUUUAAAAGGUAAAGAGACAUUUUUAUAACGUGGACUAUUAAAAAAUAUAGGCUUUGCUGCCUUUCUUUAACUAUGUUGUAUUUAUUAUUUGCUAACAGGCCAGCGGGAUCCUGAGGAGAGAUUCCGAGAGUGUCAACAGAGAUGCUGGACACAAGAACGUGGUGAACGAGUAUCACCGUGCGUACAACAUUGUCAACGAGAGUACCAAAGAGAGAGAGAAAAACAACAUCGUGGCCAGGAGGAGACUAGGGAUGAAAAUCAAGGACGUGGCAAACGUGAGCCUGAGGAGAGACUCAGAGAGUGCCAACAAAGGUGCCAGAGACAAGAAGAGGGCCAACAGCAAUGGCAGUGCCAACAACGUUGUCAGCAAGAGUACCAAAGAGAGAAAGAACAACACCACCGUGGCCAGGAGGAUGAAAAUCAAGGACGAGGCAAACGUGACCCCGAGGAGAGACUCAGAGAGUGCCAACACAGGUGCCAGAGACAGGAAGAGGGACAACAAAAGUGGCAGUGCCAACAACGUUGUCAACAAGAGUACCAAAGAGAGAAAGAACAACACCACCGUGUCCAAGAGACUAACCCACAAAGAGAAGAAGUGAAGAAUCCCUACUUAUUCGAGUCUCAGAGGUUCAGGUCUCGAGUCAGGGCCAGCCAUGGAGAUUUCCGCAUGCUCGAGAAAUUCACUCAAAGAUCCGAACUUCUCCAAGGAAUAGAAAAAUUCCGUGUUGCGGUCCUUGAACUUGAACCUCAGUCUUUCAUGUUGCCUCAUCACUGUGAUAGCGAAACCAUAUUUGUUGUUAUU